GAUGAACGCUGGCGGCGUGCCUAAUACAUGCAAGUCGAGCGAACAGACGAGGAGCUUGCUCCUCUGACGUUAGCGGCGGACGGGUGAGUAACACGUGGAUAACCUACCUAUAAGACUGGGAUAACUUCGCGAAACCGGAGCUAAUACCGGAUAAUAUAUUGAACCGCAUGGUUCAAUAGUGAAAGACGGUUUUGCUGUCACUUAUAGAUGGAUCCGCGCCGCAUUAGCUAGUUGGUAAGGUAACGGCUUACCAAGGCAACGAUGCGUAGCCGACCUGAGAGGGUGAUCGGCCACACUGGAACUGAGACACGGUCCAGACUCCUACGGGAGGCAGCAGUAGGGAAUCUUCCGCAAUGGGCGAAAGCCUGACGGAGCAACGCCGCGUGAGUGAUGAAGGUCUUCGGAUCGUAAAACUCUGUUAUUAGGGAAGAACAAAUGUGUAAGUAACUAUGCACGUCUUGACGGUACCUAAUCAGAAAGCCACGGCUAACUACGUG
rnacentral:rRNA from 1 species